rnacentral:rRNA from 1 species
GGACCCGCACAAGUAGUGGAGCAUGUGGUUUAAUUCGAAGAUACGCGCAGAACCUUACCAACACUUGACAUGUUCGUCGCGACUUUAAGAGAUUAAAGUUUUCGGUUCGGCCGGACGAAACACAGGUGCUGCAUGGCUGUCGUCAGCUCGUGUCGUGAGAUGUUGGGUUAAGUCCCGCAACGAGCGCAACCCUCACUUUUAGUUGCCAUCAUUAAGUUGGGCACUCUGAAAGAACUGCCAGUGAUAAGCUGGAGGAAGGUGGGGAUGACGUCAAGUCCUCAUGGCCCUUACGUGUUGGGCUACACACGUGCUACAAUGGUAUCUACAACAGGAAGCAAGACUGCGAAGUUAAGCAAAUCCUUAAAAGAUACCUCAGUUCGGAUUGCACUCUGCAACUCGAGUGCAUGAAGCUGGAAUUACUAGUAAUCGUGGAU